rnacentral:rRNA from 1 species
UACGUAGGGGGCAAGCGUUGUCCGGAAUCAUUGGGCGUAAAGAGCGCGUAGGCGGUCCGAUUAGUCCGCUGUGAAAGUCCAGGGCUCAACCCUGGAAUGCCGGUGGAUACUGUCGGGCUAGAGUCCGGAAGAGGCGAGUGGAAUUCCCGGUGUAGCGGUGAAAUGCGCAGAUAUCGGGAGGAACACCAAUGGCGAAGGCAGCUCGCUGGGACGGUACUGACGCUGAGACGCGAAAGCGUGGGGAGCGAACAGG